rnacentral:rRNA from 1 species
AGACCCGAAACCCGGUGAUCUAGCCAUGGGCAGGUUGAAGGUUGGGUAACACUAACUGGAGGACCGAACCGACUAAUGUUGAAAAAUUAGCGGAUGACCUGUGGCUGGGGGUGAAAGGCCAAUCAAACCGGGAGAUAGCUGGUUCUCCCCGAAAGCUAUUUAGGUAGCGCCUCGUGAACUCAUCUUCGGGGGUAGAGCACUGUUUCGGCUAGGGGGUCAUCCCGACUUACCAACCCGAUGCAAACUGCGAAUACCGGAGAAUGUUAUCACGGGAGACACACGGCGGGUGCUAACGUCCGUCGUGAAGAGGGAAACAACCCAGACCGCCAGCUAAGGUCCCAAAGUCAUGGUUAAGUGGGAAACGAUGUGGGAAGGCCCAGACAGCCAGGAUGUUGGCUUAGAAGCAGCCAUCAUUUAAAGAAAGCGUAAUAGCUCACUGGUCGAGUCGGCCUGCGCGGAAGAUGUAACGGGGCUAAACCAUGCACCGAAGCUGCGGCAGCGACACUCAGGUGUUGUUGGGUAGGGGAGCGUUCUGUAAGCCUGUGAAGGUGGCCUGUGAGGGUUGCUGGAGGUAUCAGAAGUGCGAAUGCUGACAUAAGUAACGAUAAAGCGGGUGAAAAGCCCGCUCGCCGGAAGACCAAGGGUUCCUGUCCAACGUUAAUCGGGGCAGGGUGAGUCGACCCCUAAGGCGAGGCCGAAAGGCGUAGUCGAUGGGAAACGGGUUAAUAUUCCCGUACUUGGUGUUACUGCGAAGGGGGGACGGAGAAGGCUAUGUUGGCCGGGCGACGGUUGUCCCGGUUUAAGCGUGUAGGUGUGUGUUCCAGGUAAAUCCGGUUCACUUUAACACUGAGGCGUGAUGACGAGGCACUACGGUGCUGAAGCAACAAAUGCCCUGCUUCCAGGAAAAGCCUCUAAGCAUCAGGUAACAUCAAAUCGUACCCCAAACCGACACAGGUGGUCAGGUAGAGAAUACCAAGGCGCUUGAGAGAACUCGGGUGAAGGAACUAGGCAAAAUGGUGCCGUAACUUCGGGAGAAGGCACGCUGACACGUAGGUGAAGUGAUUUACUCACGGAGCUGAAGUCAGUCGAAGAUACCAGCUGGCUGCAACUGUUUAUUAAAAACACAGCACUGUGCAAACACGAAAGUGGACGUAUACGGUGUGACGCCUGCCCGGUGCCGGAAGGUUAAUUGAUGGGGUCAGCGCAAGCGAAGCUCCUGAUCGAAGCCCCGGUAAACGGCGGCCGUAACUAUAACGGUCCUAAGGUAGCGAAAUUCCUUGUCGGGUAAGUUCCGACCUGCACGAAUGGCGUAAUGAUGGCCAGGCUGUCUCCACCCGAGACUCAGUGAAAUUGAACUCGCUGUGAAGAUGCAGUGUACCCGCGGCAAGACGGAAAGACCCCGUGAACCUUUACUAUAGCUUGACACUGAACAUUGAGCCUUGAUGUGUAGGAUAGGUGGGAGGCUUUGAAGUGUGGACGCCAGUCUGCAUGGAGCCGACCUUGAAAUACCACCCUUUAAUGUUUGAUGUUCUAACGUGGACCCGUAAUCCGGGUUGCGGACAGUGUCUGGUGGGUAGUUUGACUGGGGCGGUCUCCUCCUAAAGAGUAACGGAGGAGCACGAAGGUUGGCUAAUCCUGGUCGGACAUCAGGAGGUUAGUGCAAUGGCAUAAGCCAGCUUGACUGCGAGCGUGACGGCGCGAGCAGGUGCGAAAGCAGGUCAUAGUGAUCCGGUGGUUCUGAAUGGAAGGGCCAUCGCUCAACGGAUAAAAGGUACUCCGGGGAUAACAGGCUGAUACCGCCCAAGAGUUCAUAUCGACGGCGGUGUUUGGCACCUCGAUGUCGGCUCAUCACAUCCUGGGGCUGAAGUAGGUCCCAAGGGUAUGGCUGUUCGCCAUUUAAAGUGGUACGCGAGCUGGGUUUAGAACGUCGUGAGACAGUUCGGUCCCUAUCUGCCGUGGGCGCUGGAGAACUGAGGGGGGCUGCUCCUAGUACGAGAGGACCGGAGUGGACGCAUCACUGGUGUUCGGGUUGUCAUGCCAAUG